CACGUAGGGAGCAAGCGUUGUCCGGAUUUAUUGGGCGUAAAGCGCGCGCAGGCGGUCUUUUAAGUCUGAUGUGAAAGCCCACGGCUCAACCGUGGAGGGUCAUUGGAAACUGGAAGACUUGAGUACAGAAGAGGAGAGUGGAAUUCCACGUGUAGCGGUGAAAUGCGUAGAGAUGUGGAGGAAGACCAGUGGCGAAGGCGACUUUCUGGUCUGUAACUGACGCUGAGGCGCGAAAGCGUGGGGAGCAAACAGG
rnacentral:misc_RNA from 1 species